AAAGAACAAAGGCAAAUCCGUACGAAAGUCGGAGACGCAAAGCCACGGGUCUAAGUCCCACGGGGAUACGAUCGCCGGGUUGCUCAU
rnacentral:ncRNA from 1 species